rnacentral:rRNA from 1 species
GAUCCUGGCUCAGGAUGAACGCUAGCUACAGGCUUAACACAUGCAAGUCGAGGGGCAGCAUGACCUAGCAAUAGGUUGAUGGCGACCGGCGCACGGGUGAGUAACACGUAUCCAACCUACCGGUUAUUCCGGGAUAGCCUUUCGAAAGAAAGAUUAAUACCGGAUAGUAUAACGAGAAGGCAUCUUCUUUGUUUAUUUAAAGAAAUUUACGUAUAACCGAACUGGGGAGUGCGUUCCUACUUAGUUUUGUUUUGGUCGGGGGUAACGGGGACCCCGACCCAAACG